rnacentral:tRNA from 1 species
ACUUGGCUGGCUCAGUCAGAAGAGUGUGUGACUCUUGAUCACAGAGUCAUGAGUUUGAGCCCCAAGUUGGGUG